rnacentral:lncRNA from 1 species
GGCAAUCAAAGCAUUCAGAACUUUGAGAAGCUAUAUGAGGCUAAGCAUUUGCACACCUUUCUACAACUACGUUCAGCAAGUCCCUCAGUAGGUUUUAAUGCCAGCCAUAAGUUGAUGCUGAGAAACAAACUUGUAGAUCUAUUGCCAGUUCUACGAUGUGUAAGAGUGCUCAACUUAUCAACAAGCAGUAUUGUUGAGUUGCCUAGCUCAGUUGGCAACUUAAAACAAUUAAGGUAUUUGGACGUGUCUUACACUUCACUAAGAGAAUUACCUGAGACGGUGUGCACCUUGUACAAUUUACAGACCUUAUUGUUGUCCUGUUG